GGAUGUGAGGGCAAUCUGGCUGCGACAUCUGUUUGCACAUCCAAUCUGUCUGCAUAUCAGCUGAUACGGCUGACCGGCUGACCUGGCUGGCAAGGCGGGGGUCCCCUUCCUCCCUCACCCCCCACGUGCAUCCCUCCCAAAGCCACGCUCUCCUCGAAGAGGCCGACCUUCCCGCUAGAGGAGGACCCUGCUUGGGUCAAGGGCAUACGAGUGGCUGCGCUCCCCUGCUACAACCUCCAGACUAGCUCUCAGGAAAGCAAAAAGCCAUGCUGCAGGAUGGGAGAAAAUAUUUGCAAAUCAGAUAUCAGAUCAGGGUCUAUAAUUGAGAAAACAU
rnacentral:snRNA from 1 species